UACAGAGGGGGCAAGCGUUGUUCGGAAUUACUGGGCGUAAAGGGCGCGUAGGCGGCCUUCUAAGUCGAACGUGAAAUCCCCGGGCUCAACCCGGGAACUGCGUCCGAUACUGGAAGGCUUGAAUCCGGGAGAGGGAUGCGGAAUUCCAGGUGUAGCGGUGAAAUGCGUAGAUAUCGUAAGGAAGACCAGUGGCGAAGGCGGGUCUCCUGACAGUUCCCUACGCUUAGGCACGGAGGCCAGGGGAGCAAACGGG
rnacentral:rRNA from 1 species